AGCUUUGCGCAGUGACAUUACCGUAGCUGAUGAGGUCCAUCCGAGACGCGGUUAUUGCUGAUUGAAAACUUUUCCCAAUACCCCGCGAGACGACUUGAAACAUAGUCGGCUUUGCAAUUUUUGUCGGCCCUGCUUAGGG
rnacentral:snRNA from 2 species